rnacentral:rRNA from 1 species
GGACCCGCACAAGCAGCGGAGCAUGUGGUUUAAUUCGAAGCAACGCGAAGAACCUUACCAGGCCUUGACAUCCUCUGACAAUCCUAGAGAUAGGACGUUUCCUUCGGGAACAGAGAGACAGGUGGUGCAUGGUUGUCGUCAGCUCGUGUCGUGAGAUGUUGGGUUAAGUCCCGCAACGAGCGCAACCCUUGCCUUUAGUUGCCAGCAUUGAGUUGGGCACUCUAAAGGGACUGCCGUAGACAAUACGGAGGAAGGUGGGGACGACGUCAAAUCAUCAUGCCCCUUAUGGCCUGGGCUACACACGUGCUACAAUGGGUUGGGACAAAGGGAAGCGAAGCCGCGAGGUGAAGCCAAUCCCAUAAAACAACCCCCAGUUCGGAUUGCAGGCUGAAACCCGCCUGCAUGAAGUUGGAGUUGCUAGUAAUCGCAGAUCAGAAUGCUGCGGUGAAUGCGUUCCCGGGUCUU